AGUGAACGCUGGCGGUAGGCCUAACACAUGCAAGUCGAACGGCAGCACAGUAAGAGCUUGCUCUUACGGGUGGCGAGUGGCGGACGGGUGAGGAAUACAUCGGAAUCUACUUUUUCGUGGGGGAUAACGUAGGGAAACUUACGCUAAUACCGCAUACGACCUACGGGUGAAAGCAGGGGAUCUUCGGACCUUGCGCGAUUGAAUGAGCCGAUGUCGGAUUAGCUAGUUGGCGGGGUAAAGGCCCACCAAGGCAACGAUCCGUAGCUGGUCUGAGAGGAUGAUCAGCCACACUGGAACUGAGACACGGUCCAGACUCCUACGGGAGGCAGCAGUGGGGAAUAUUGCGCAAUGGGCGAAAGCCUGAUCCAGCCAUACCGCGUGAGUGAAGAAGGCCUUCGGGUUGUAAAGCCCUUUUGUUGGGAAAGAAAAGCAGCAGGUUAAUACCCCGAUGUUCUGACGGUACCCAAAGAAUAAGCACCGGCUAACUUCGUG
rnacentral:rRNA from 1 species